rnacentral:rRNA from 1 species
UACGUAGGGGGGCAAGCGUUUGUCCGGAUUUAUUGGGCGUAAAGAGCGUGUAGGCGGCCAGACAGGUCCGUUGUGAAAACUCGAGGCUCAACCUCGAGAUGUCGAUGGAAACCGUCUGGCUAGAGUCCGGAAGAGGAGUGUGGAAUUCCUGGUGUAGCGGUGAAAUGCGUAGAUAUCAGGAGGAACACCGGUGGCGAAGGCGGGAUCCUGGGCCAGUACUGACGCUGAGGAGCGAAAGCGUGGGGAGCAAACAGG